CAAGAAGAGACCCUAACCGGUCCUCUCAACCCUGCCCAUCGUACCUUUUCUUGUUGUUCCCCUCGGCGGCUGCUCGCGGGCCCGCCGGCGGGAAGACCAAACAAACCCUUUGCAAACAAGCAUAUCGAAAUCUCUGAUCAAACAUGAAUUGUCA
rnacentral:misc_RNA from 1 species